UAGAACACACACUGGAAUAGGAUUCAGAUCAUGAAUACACCCUGGUCCCUCUGGCUGAGUGAGUCUGGGCACAACAUAUCUUUCCAGGUUAAUACGUAGAAUCUACAGAGAUCAUUUUGAGUUGAACUCUGACAUAUUUUCUUCUGCAUUGCAAUUUGUCAUCUAAACUGAUCCAGAUGAAAAACCAUUCCAACUUUGCUCAAAGAGAUUAGUAAUAUAUCCCAAAUGACCAGCUCACAAGUGUGGAGUUGGGUUGAGACAUAGAUCUCCUGACUCAAGAAGAUGUUGUUUCUUCUAGCUGCUUGCUUGCCUGUCUGUGAGAAUUAAUGUGCAAGAUCCUUUCUUGGUACGACAUUUUAUAAGGUAAAUAAAUAUUUCUGAAUAAACUGGAUUCCUUCAUGAGUUAAUAUUUUACACCAUAGAGGAAAAAAACAGGGAGGCUUCACACUGUAAAGACAGCUUUGCCAAUUUCUUUGUAUUUGCAAGGAUUGACAAGAUCCCAUGUCCUGGUUAACAAAAGAGAGAAGCCAUCCCAUAGCUAUUAAGACAUUUCAAUAUAGUGUGUUAGAUGAUGCCCAAACACCAAGGAGGAGAAUGGACUCUGUGGACUAAUGCACAAUAAAUCAAUGAAGCAAAAAAUCAGCACUGCCCUGGCCAUGUUCUCAGAAGAACUGUGCACAAGUUCCUUGCUCAGAGAAAAUUCAUCAUGCUGCUCCUCGAGAUCUCAAUUCCAUCACUAGCCCACAAUAAGGCAGUAAAUGUGAGGAAUUUUCCAUGGAUCUGUCAAGAAUUUGGAAUUGUUACUUUCAAAGAACUUCUUGAGCUCUCAACUUCCUGAUGGGGCAGGACCUCAAGGAAAAAUAAAUAAGUGAACACUGAGACAAUGCUAAGUAGUCUCGGUAUCUCCUAUUGUAGGAGUGAGGGGAAACCUGCCCUUUUCCCUGAAAAUUUGUUGAAAGAUCAACUCACAAUUAAGCCACAAGGCUAAGAUUGCUGAAAAUUAAACUGAAUGUCAUCUUGUGCCUGGCUGAAUUACAGGACAAGUUGAACUUCCAGCCUUGCAGGGCAUCUACUAUUAAGUCUCCUGCCAGAAUUCCCCGUUGGCUGAACCUAACCAGAUGGCAGAGGACAAGGGAAACUGCGAAGGAGGUCCACAUGGCACAGUCUCCUGGGGCCAACUACAGGGUACAGUGAGGUGGACAGUGGAUCUGCAGGGACUAGCAGAAGAUGUCUGGCACCUAUGGGAACAUAAAAGACAAGGAAGGAGAAAGUUUCAAGAUGAGUGAAUAAAAUUAUGUCAAAUGAGAAAUCAAGUGAGACAAGAUUCGAAAAAAUUCCCACUGGACUUCAAGACAAAGAUUUAUCCAUCUUUGACAUAAACAAAUUCAGCGAAGUAGUAAGAGUAGAAAGUAUAGUGCGCUAGUUUG